AGCUAGGCCAUCCCAGAAUUGUUGACUCAAGAGAUUUCAUCCAGAAGUUGUAGUGUCUCAUUUAAACAACACAGAAGAAUCAUUUAAUGCCAGGUUUUCACAGAUAGGAAAGUGACACCUAAAGUGUUAUGCAUUAAAAAAGAAGAUUCAAUUCAGUAAUGUCGCAAAUGCUGUGUAAAAAUGCAAUGCCAACUUACCCCAAUUCAUUGGGCAACUUACCCCGUAGUUCGGGCAAGUUGCCCAUUUAAGGUGACGCAUUAAAACGUAUUUUUCGGCAAGUACUUUUCCUUUUCUAAUAAUUUGUUUUACGCUACUUUUUAGUUAAGAUAAUAAGGUUUCAUUUAAGCUAAAAAUUUUAUCAUUUUAAUGAAAAUUACGA